rnacentral:rRNA from 1 species
CAGCCGUAAACUAUGCGCGUUAGGUGUAUCGGUGACCACGAGUUACCGAGGUGCCGAAGGGAAACCGUGAAACGUGCCGCCUGGGAAGUACGGUCGCAAGGCUGAAACUUAAAGGAAUUGGCGGGGGAGGCACCACAACGGGUGGAGCCUGCGGUUUAAUUUGGACUCAACGCCGGGAAGCUCACCGGAUAAGACAGCGGAAUGAUUGCCGGGCUGAAGACUCUGCAUGACUAGCUGAGAGGAGGUGCAUGGCGUAGACGUCU